CGUUGAAUUAAAGACCUCAGAAAGGCAACAGUACAUGAAGUAAGGGCUAAACAGGACAUGUUUACAGAGCCCUUAUCUUUAGCAGUAAGGGUUUAAAUAAAUGCAACGUCCAAGAUGGUUGCUUCUGUUGAAGGUGCAAGGGUGAGAAACAGCACUCUAUGCAUGUUGGAAACAUCUUUACUUAUUUAUAUGUCCUGACACAGGCUUUGGGUUUUCCUCCUUCACUGGAUGCCUGCUCAGCACACCAAAUUUGAGUGGGGAGGAGAUUGCGAUUGUAUAUAUGCAGAAGACAGCAGGGGCUAAGGGCAGGCAACCUCUUCAGCCAAGUUGCAGCACGCUAAAGAAAAUAAAAUCUCAGAGCCCUGCUCAUCUUCAAGGAGCAGUAAGGUAAAUUCCAAGAAGACCAUAUUUAGAUAUGAAUUUCAACCAAUUCUAU
rnacentral:lncRNA from 1 species